rnacentral:rRNA from 1 species
GACGAACCACCCAAACGUUAUUCGGAAUUACUGGGCUUAAAGGGUGCGUAGGCGGCGCGGAAAGUUGGAUGUGAAAUCCCUCGGCUCAACCGAGGAACUGCGUUCAAAACUCCCGCGCUCGAGGAAGACAGAGGUAAGCGGAACUUCGGGUGGAGCGGUGAAAUGCGUUGAUAUCCGAAGGAACACCGGUGGCGAAAGCGGCUUACUGGGUCUUUUCUGACGCUGAUGCACGAAAGCUAGGGGAGCAAAC